GACGAACGCUGGCGGCGUGCUUAACACAUGCAAGUCGAACGGUGAAGCGCCUUCCUUUUUGGUGGGUGUGGAUGAGUGGCGAACGGGUGAGUAACACGUGAGUAACCUGCCCCCUUCUUCUGGAUAACCGCAUGAAAGUGUGGCUAAUACGGGAUAUUCUGGGUCUGUCGCAUGAUGGGUCUGGGAAAGAUAUUGUUUCGGUGGGGGAUGGGCUCGCGGCCUAUCAGCUUGUUGGUGGGGUGAUGGCCUACCAAGGCGGUGACGGGUAGCCGGCCUGAGAGGGUGGACGGUCACACUGGGACGGAGACACGGCCCAGACUCCUACGGGAGGCAGCAGGGGGGAAUAUUGCACAAUGGGCGCAAGCCUGAUGCAGCGACGCCGCGUGAGGGAUGGAGGCCUGCGGGUUGUGAACCUCUUUCGCCAGUGAAGCAGGCCUGCCUCGUUUGUGGGUGGGUUGACGGUAGCUGGAUAAGAAGCGCCGGCUAACUACGUG
rnacentral:rRNA from 1 species